UAGUAACGGCGAGUGAACCGGGAUGAGCUCAAAUUUAAAAUCUGGCGUCUUUCAGGCGUCCGAGUUGUAAUCUAUAGAGGCGUUUUCCGCGCCGGACCGCGUCCAAGUCUCUUGGAAUAGAGUAUCAAAGAGGGUGACAAUCCCGUACUUGACGCGACAACCGGUGCUCUGUGAUACGUUCUCAAUGAGUCGAGUUGUUUGGGAAUGCAGCUCUAAAUGGGUGGUAAAUUCCAUCUAAGGCUAAAUAUUGGCGAGAGACCGAUAGCGAACAAGUACCGUGAGGGAAAGAUGAAAAGCACUUUGGAAAGAGAGUUAAACAGCACGUGAAAUUGUUAAAAGGGAAACGAUUGAAGUCAGUCGUGUGAAAGGUAUUCAGCCGUCUCUGGCGGUGUAUUUGCCUUUCACGGGUCAACAUCAGUUUGAUCCGGUAGAAAAAGGCGGGAGGAAGGUGGCACCCUCGGGUGUGUUAUAGCCUCCUGUCAUAUGUGCCGGACCAGACUGAGGAACGCAGCUUGCCGCAAGGCCGGGGUUCGCCCACGUACAAGCUUAGGAUGUUGACAUAAUGGCUUUAAACGACCCGU
rnacentral:rRNA from 1 species